rnacentral:rRNA from 1 species
GACGAACGCUGGCGGCGUGCCUAAUACAUGCAAGUCGAACGCAUUUUCUUUCACCGUAGCUUGCUACACCGAAAGAAAAUGAGUGGCGAACGGGUGAGUAACACGUGGGUAACCUGCCCAUCAGCGGGGGAUAACACUUGGAAACAGGUGCUAAUACCGCAUAAUUCCAUUUACUGCAUGGUAGAUGGAUGAAAGGCGCUUUUGCGUCACUGAUGGAUGGACCCGCGGUGCAUUAGCUAGUUGGUGGGGUAACGGCCUACCAAGGCUGCGAUGCAUAGCCGACCUGAGAGGGUGAUCGGCCAAACUGGGACUGAGACACGGCCCAGACUCCUACGGGAGGCAGCAGUAGGGAAUCUUCGGCAAUGGACGCAAGUCUGACCGAGCAACGCCGCGUGAGUGAAGAAGGGUUUCGGAUCGUAAAACUCUGUUGUUAGAAAAGAACAAGGAUGAGAGUGGAAAGUUCAUCCCUUGACGGUAUCUAACCAGAAAGCCACGGCUAACUACGUG